CUUUUGAUGAUUAAUUUAUCACAGAUUACACGGCCGAAGGAAACGCAGUACCGAUCCAUGUGUUACAAUCAGACUGAGUCUUCAUGCAGUACAUUCUGGAAUGAGGAACACCGCAUGCAUUGUGGUCCAAAUUGAUGGCAUUGACUUAACACAAAGAAGAAAGGAAUGAAGAGAAAUUAAGAAGUUUAUGUUUCACAUUAAUUAAGAUUAUUCGAGAUAUGUUAUCUGUCGAGGUAUACAACAUUUCCUUUCAUAAUAAAAGUGUAAACAUUAAUAUAUAUAUAUACAAAAAAAAAUCAUGUAUAUAAUCUGAAAAUCCUUGUUAGUUAUUUGUUGUACUAGCAAAAAAUAUAAUAUAGUCGUCUCAAGCUUGGUUGUAUUGAAAUCCCCGGGGACAGUGACAGAGAUAUAUCACUACAGUACGUGCUACAUCAAACAACACACCAUUGUUCAAAUUGUCAAUCAACAUUUCAUUUAGUCAGUAUUUAGAAUUGAUUCCAAAAUUAUGAUAAUCUUUUCACAGUUUAUUAGAAAUAAUGUUAAAUUUGAUAGAAGAAGUCUUCGACUGUUGCUUGUUUUUGUUUAUUUUAAGUUCACGGACACACAUGAAAACAGUUUCCAGUACAUCUGGGCUACUUCGAGGAAACUACAUAUACUGUCUGAAAUCAGUCUUGUGCGUCGGUGACAAAAUGUAUACAUAUCCUACUAUAACUCUGCUGGAAAAUAUUAUUUUGUACUAUUUUCCUACUAUUUUAGAAAAAAAA